AUUGAACGCUGGCGGCAGGCCUAACACAUGCAAGUCGAGCGGAUGAAGGGAGCUUGCUCCUGGAUUCAGCGGCGGACGGGUGAGUAAUGCCUAGGAAUCUGCCUGGUAGUGGGGGGUAACGUCCGGAAACGGGCGCUAAUACCGCAUACGUCCUGAGGGAGAAAGUGGGGGAUCUUCGGACCUCACGCUAUCAGAUGAGCCUAGGUCGGAUUAGCUAGUUGGUGGGGUAAAGGCCUACCAAGGCGACGAUCCGUAACUGGUCUGAGAGGAUGAUCAGUCACACUGGAACUGAGACACGGUCCAGACUCCUACGGGAGGCAGCAGUGGGGAAUAUUGGACAAUGGGCGGAAGCCUGAUCCAGCCAUGCCGCGUGUGUGAAGAAGGUCUUCGGAUUGUAAAGCACUUUAAGUUGGGAGGAAGGGCAGUAAGUUAAUACCUUGCUGUUUUGACGUUACCAACAGAAUAAGCACCGGCUAACUUCGUG
rnacentral:rRNA from 1 species